GACGUAGGGCGCGAGCGUGUCCGGAUUUAUUGGGCGUAAAGAGCUCGUAGGCGGCUCGUUGCGUCAGCUGUGAGAACCCGCAGCUCAACUGUGGGCUUGCAGCUGAUACGGGCAGGCUUGAGUUCGGUAGGGGAGACUGGAAUUCCUGGUGUAGCGGUGAAAUGCGCAGAUAUCAGGAGGAACACCAAUGGCGAAGGCAGCACUCUGGGACGUGACUGACGCUGAGACGCGAAAGCGUGGGGAGCGAACAGG
rnacentral:rRNA from 1 species